rnacentral:snRNA from 1 species
GUGCUCGCUUUAGCAGCACGUAUACUAAAAUUGGAACGAUACAUAGAAGAUUAGCAUGGCCCCUGUGCAAGGAUGACACGCAAAUUCAUGAAGCAUUCCAUAUUUAA